UCUAUAAGUUUUCUUCUUAUACCUAUAAUUGCACCUGAUAAAAAGCUUACAUUUUCUUAUACAAAGCCAGUAUAUACUGCAUUCUCAUUAGAUUAUUUUGUAAAGUUUUAAUGCAAAUAUACUUUUUUCCGUAUUUUGUUAGUUAGGGUCACACUGUGUAGCCCAGGCUGACCUCCAACUUGUGGUCCUCCUGCUAAGAUUGUGAGUGUGCAAUUUAUAUACUUUUAAAAUAUCAAUUUUUAUAUGGUUUAUGUAAAAAUUCUACAAAUACCCAACCAACCUGAUUACCCCAAUUCUUCAAUCUUCCUAAGUAAGUAGAACUUUGCUUUGAAUAAAAGCCUUGUAAAAGUUUCAACAUUUGGUUAAUAUUUGAGGCUCAGUACUAAUGAAAGCACUAUGAAUUGCUUAAAAGUACACAAGUCUCUUUUAUUUAAAAGAAAGGUAGGGUCUGGGAAUAUGGCCUGGUAGUCGAGUGCUUGCCUU